AUAAUCAGUUCAUAGAAUUGAAGUCUCAUUCUUAAUCCAUAAGAAUGAGAUUCAUUCAAUCCAAUUCUUAAACUCUUAGCUUUAGAAUUAAACACAUGGAAUGAGAAUGAUUCCUCGUUCUCAUUUCCCAAUCGCCAAAAGUAAAACACGAAAUUUAAAAUAAAGGGGAAAAAAAAUCUAUAGAACAUCUAAUGAGUAAUGACACAUUAAUACAUAAUUGAAUUUUGCAUUUAUUUUAAUUUGAUAAUAAUUAAUAAAAUAGCUCUGACAGAUCGGUGAGGGUCUUGACCAACCCUUGAACGGUCAACGGCUCUCUUUCCAGCAUUAAAAGCCAAGAAAGGUCGUACCCCUCAGCCACGUGUCCAGAUUAGGUUUCUCUAUUUAUUCCUCUUUUUCAAGACACAUCAAAUAAAGCUGUUUUCUCUCUAACAAUGAUAUUGAAGUCUCAAUUAAUCCCACAAUUCGCAAAUCACACACACUCAAUCUCACACUAUUCUCUCAUCCCCAGCUUUGAUACAAAAUACAAAGAAUAAUGCCACACAUUUUUAUUUUUUUAUUACAAAAAACAAUUCUAAAUGAAGUAGUACUCAUCAA
rnacentral:lncRNA from 1 species